rnacentral:lncRNA from 1 species
GAGAAGAUACAGCCGAAGAGAGCGCACGAGUUGGGAGGUGGGGGUUGGAGGAGAGGUGGAGGGGCGCCGGAUGUGUGAGGAAUUAUAUUGGGUCCUUGUGCACUCCAAAUAAAAAGCGGGAGCAAAAGAAAAAAGAGGCGGCAAGUGAAAAAAACAAAAAUGGGAAGAUAACUGAUGAUAAAAAGGAGGCGGCAAACGUAAAAAUGAGGCGGGCUAAAAUUAAAAAUCAAUAUGGAGAAACAAUAUCACCAGGCCAUAGCGCCGUUGCUAUCUUGCUCCACAGUCAGCAACGCCUUUGACGUCUCGAGAAGAACAGACUCCUUCGAUGAGGAGCAAGACGAUGGCACGAGCUCGCCGCGCGCCAGCGUCUCCACCGUCGAUCUCAUCUUGUUGCGGUGGUCGAGCUCGUCGCGCAUCGCCCAUUUGUCCCCACGCCGCUGCGGUUCUUGCUGGAGAUUAAUUGGAAGGGAAACAGAAGGGGAAAGAAGACUCUAGCUAGAGUUCAGAUGAGAAAGGAAUGGAUAAGGAUAACAGGAAGCCGUAGAUGGAUGGAUACGGACGAGGGUGGCGUUCCCAUCUGAAUUUUUUAUCGGCUCGGACACUGCGCCUAAGGAACGGCUAGGAUGCAGCAGCAAGCCGCUGCUACAGCGGCUGCAACCUGCACUGUCACAAAUUUUUUUACACAGAAAAUAAGGCUGGGCAUGUAUUUGGAAGCAGCUGGCUGGGCAGCCGGGAUGCAGCUGGCUUGGCAGCCGGGCCGACGAAAAUUUUUUUACACAACGGCUGUGCUGUUUAGCUGCAGCUAAGCAUAAGCGAGCAAGGAUUUUAAAAUCUACUGUUAUCAUCCUUUUUCAUUUUGUUUUUUAUUUGCUUUAUACUGAAAAAAGUAUGGGACUUCAUUUUAUUCAUUUUAUUUUUACUAGAGGCAGACAUGGUUUUCUUAAUGAACUACAAUUUUUGUCUUGAAAUCCUGUAAUAAGUAGAUCCUCUUAGAUUGCACUAUUAAACUUUGGGCCUAAUUUGCAGUAUCAAUACAUCCAUAAACCUUAAACUUUUCUAAUUUUGUUAUGUCAAAUGGACCAGCUUAUAUGUCUUACUAGCAAAAUGCCCGUGCGUUGCUACGAUAAAGAUCAAUUUUGUUUUUUAAUAUCAUGAAAUUUUUUUUAUUUCUAGCACUAAAUUUUUAUUGCACUUUUGGAUUGGAUGUCUACUCAUUUGCUAGAAAAUCAAAAUAAUUUUGGUUUAAUUAUUUCUUUCGAUCAAAUACUCAUUAAGUUUCUACCUUUGUUAUUUAAGCAAGAGAAUUGCUAGAGAGAAAAAAUACAUACGUAAUAUUGUUGUACCAUACAAAGCGACCACAUUUCACAUAUAGUCCAGCUUAACAAACACCGUUAUCGUCCGGCUUAACAAACACCGUUAUCAUCUGAACAUAGCGUACAUGCAUUAGUAGAGGUGGAUCCGUUUCUAAUUAAGUGCAAGUAGCAUAGCGUAGAAUCAGCCCGCACCAACAUUGAACAAUUGCGAUAAUUUUUAUCUUCUCGUGUAAUUUUUCUACUCCACAACGUAUUAGACUCCUCAUCAUAAAUGCCAUGUUCUUUUCAAGCGACAAACGGUUUCUAAAGUUUGGAAAUUAAAUAGAUAGCUAGAAAAUUUUUAAAAAUACCUGUAUAGAUAAUACAUGUUCUUUGCAAACUAAGAAUAGUUUUUUACCAUGGUACCAAAAGGAAAAUGGCUAUGAUCAUUGCCACGUAUGGCAGGUGAUGGUGGAUGGCCUAUGGGUUUUUCUUAAUUACUCGUAUAAUAAGCUAAAAUCUAUUUUUUAUUCACAAAUGAACUGUAGCCGAAGUGGAGAUAGUGCUUCUUUCGGAGGUAGAGGUCAAUGGAUCAGAUCCCUCCCAUGCAUGUUUUUUGGAUUUCUACUUUCCUUUUUUUUCCAGCAGAGGUGUUCCUGCAUGUUUUUGGAUUUCUACUUGCCUUUUUUUUUCCAGCAGAGGUUUUCCUCGGUUGAUGGGCAGGCCGGCCAAUUUUCUUCGUUUUCUUUUUUGUUUGCGGGCUGGCUGCCAUUUCAAUUCGUAAAGAACGAUAACUUGGACAGGCCCUAUGAUAUGAUUAACCCACAACUCUUCAAUAGCAUGCAGCCAUAUAAUUCAGUUAGAUGCACUCAAAUUUUGGAGUGACAGAACUCACACAACAGGCAUGGCAAAGAAAAAGAGCCCAGCAGAACAUUUGAUUCUAAACAACAUAGCCAAAUCCUCACAUGAAACCGGGAACACAAGGGGGUCGCUUGUAACAAUUUAAGAACACGAGUUUUUCAGGUUCACAAGCCUGCUAGAAAGGACAGCAAAAUUAACUACCACAGUAGGAUGUAGGGAGUGUCAUCUAAUAAACAUUGAGAUAAGCAUUGUAUCCAUGUCUUUAACAGGUUGAUUGUUUGCCAAAUCAAAAGAAAAAAGCUCAAAUUAUUCAUGCUAGGAGCCAGGAACUGAAAGCCCAAGCAGAUUUAAUAUGUUUCAUCUGAUGAUAGUUCAUCACCCAUGUCAAAGUCAUCUCUUGGUUUAACUCUUACCACCACGUUCCAUCCUUUAGCUUUCGGGUCUUCAACAUAGAAAACUUGCUUCGCUUGUGAAGAGAAUACAAAAGGAUCAUGCUCUAAUUUCUCUCCAGUAUGUAUUUUUCGAGAAAAAUUCACAAGAGUGAAUCCAAAAUCAUCUUUUCGGAAACCAGCACGGUGGUGGACAUCAUACCAGUCACAUUUGAAAAGCACCACCUUGUAGUCUUUGUACCACAAUUCUAUUAUAUCUGAUAAUCUGCCAUAAUAAUGAACUCCAUCUGCUGCAAUGUUCACUACGCCACUGUUUUGUGUCAAUCGUGCAGCCUCACGACCCAUGGUGUGGAACCUGAAACCAUUAACAAUAUAGCCACUGUACUGCACACCACAUUUUCUUGGUUUUUCAGCGAUUGCUCUUGUCUUUUCAGUGAUCCCUAGUCCAUCAUCUAGUAUAACCUGUACAUAAGAAAAUAAUUACAUCCAUUCUCCUACUAAAUUCAUAAACAUCAUUUUAAGAUGUACCUUCUGUUCCAACCAGUCAGCAAAGUGUUGAUCAAUCAACAUCUCUAUGGUAGAAGGUGUUAAACUUGUUGAGGGACACUGUUUACUUUUCUGGUCAUCCAAAAAUUCUCUAAAAUAAGAUAACAAAUUAUAGUAUCAAGUCAUCAAGUUAUGUAAACCAAAUAAACAAGAGAAAGCUAUACUGCUCACCUGCGAAAACAUUCUAGUUCAUCACAGUGUCGCAAGACAUAUCUAUGUGCCUGAACAAGAAGCUGAUUGUCAAAUUGGGCUGCAGUGCUACCUUUUCCAAUUGAUUCACCCGCACUGUUAAAUAGGUACAUAUCUUUUAUUUUGUCUAAAGGUUCAGGGUUUCUAGAUGGCCUUGUAAAACAUGUAGUUCCUUCUAUGAACCUUGAACAGAAAGUCAUGCAUUCUGCAGUUUUAUAUCCUUCAGCAAUUGAACCUUCUGGAUGAGCUCUGUUCUUCACAAGUGCCUUAAGUCGAACAAAAAACCUACACACAAUUAAAAAAAUAUGUUAUUCCUGUGAAUUAUUAAAGAGGACAAGGCAAAAGAUAAACAAAAUACCUCUCGAGAGGAUACAUCCAUCGAUAGUGCACAGGGCCACCAAGUUUUGCUUCUUCAGCCAAGUGCACCAUCAAAUGCACCAUUACAGUAAAAAAUGAUGGAACAAAAGUUCUCUCCAUAUUACAAAGUGUCACCACAAUACUUUCUUGAAGUUUGUCGAGCUCAGACACAUCUAAUACCUUGGAGCAUAAUUUCUUGAAGAAAUUAGCUAACUCGAUGACUAUUCUCAUGACAUCUUUGCUGGGGUAACAUGAUCGGAGUGCUACAAGAAGAAUAUCAUGCAGCAAAACAUGAUUAUCAUGACUCUUUAGUCCACUCAAUUUGCACUCUUUCAUGUUGACACACCUAGAAAUGUUUGAUGCAUAGCCAUCAGGUGUUCUAAUAUUCCGAAGUACGGAACAAAGAAUCUCCUUUUUCUCUCUAGACAUAGUAAAAGGUGCAUCAGGUGCCUUUUGCUUUCCUUGGUCAUCUACCACAGGAUGCAAUUCUUCCCGAAUUCCAAGUUCCACUAAAUCUAGUCGUGCAUUCAGGUCAUCCUUUGUUUUAGAAUAAAUAUCCAGCAAAGUUGCAAUCAAAUUUUCACACACGUUUUUCUCUAUAUGCAUUACAUCCAGGUUGUGUCUUAGUUUGUUCUCCUCCCAGUAUGGUAGCUUGAAAAAUAUUGACCUCUUUUUCAACCAAUCUUCUGGAUUCUUUUCUUUCUUACCUCGGUUGGCAUUUAAUUUCUUCUCACUUUCUCCUCUUUUACGCUUGCCCUUCUGAUGGUCCAGGUCAUUCCUUUUGGUGUUUCUACCUUUCUUCUUUGCAAAGCAGACCUUCUUCCCUAACACAAACUCUCUGCCUUGUAACAUUGUCAGAACAGAAGUGCCACUCAUUGUUUUAGGGGGAUCUUCGGUCUCUUCAGCCCCAUCAAACUGCUCCUUUUGCCUUCGAUAUUUGUGAUCAUGUGGCAACCAUCGUCGAUGACCCAUAUAACAUGUCUUUCUACUCUUAUUUAGGUAAAAUGAUUUUGUUGACGCACCACAAGAAGGACAUGCGUAUGUACCACUUGUGCUCCAACCAUAAAGGUAAGCUAAUGCUGGAAAGUCAUUUAAAGUCCACAAUAGUGUAGCUCGGAGAUAAAAUGUCUUCUGGAAAGAGGCGUCAAUUGUUUCCACUCCCCUCCACAACUCUAAGAGCUCAUCGAUCAAUGGUUCCAAAUAUACAUCAAUAUCAUUCCCUGGAGAAUCUGGUCCAGGAAUGAUCAUCGACAAAAUUAAAGAUGUUUGCUUCAUGCAAAUCCAAGGUGGUAGGUUGUAAGGAAUGAGCAUCACUGGCCAAGUGCUGUGUGUAGAACUCAAGUUCCUAAAUGGGUUAAAUCCAUCACUUGCAAGACCAAGGCGUACAUUACGAGCAUCUUUUGCAAAUUCAGGAUAUCUUCUAUCAAAAUCAUUCCAAGCUUCUGCAUCAGCUGGAUGUCGCAGUUUGCCAUCUUUUGUACGUCCCUCAUCAUGCCAUCGCAUAUCAUCGGAAGUUUUGUUAGUUGCAAAUAACCUUUGGAGUCUUGGUAUCAACGGAAAAUAACGUAACACUUUUGCUGGCUUCUUUUUCUUUUUUGGUUGAGCUGCAGAGCCAUUCUUCUUCAUAUCUUUCCAUCGAGAGCUUUUACACACAUGACAAGUCUCUUGUUUAGCUCUAUUUCCUCGAAAAAGCAUGCAAUCUUUUGGGCAUGCUUGGAUUUUCACAUAGUCAAGACCAAAAGCACGGAUGAUUUUUUUUGCUUCAUAAUAUGUCUUAGGUAGAUUUGCCUCAGGUGGAAGUGCCUUAGAUAGCAGACCAAGCAGCGAUGUGAAGGAUUCUUGAGUCCAACCAUGUAAACACUUCUGGUGAUAUAAGUGGACUAAAAAUGACAACUUGGUAAAUGUCUCACAACCAGGGUACAACCUUGUGUGUGCAUCCUUAAAGAAUCUUGUGUACAUAUCAUGUUCUAUCCUCAUAGUAUUAUCUUCAGCAGGACUCACAUCCUCUGUCAUAUUAUGUUCCAUAUUUCUAUCCUCUGCCACAUUAUGUUCCAUAUCUGUAAAACUAGACUGAAUAUCAUCUAGUUCAGCUUCAGACAUACUUGGCAAUGAUUCAUAGCUUGCUGGAGCAAGAAAUACAGCCUGUAGCAUUCCUUGCAUGUCAUCUAAUAUUCCAUGGCGAUUUUCUACCGUAGCAGUCCUUGAGACACCCAAAGUAGGCAUGCUUGCAUCAUUAUUUGGAACAUGAGCAAAUGCAAAUGAUGGUGGGUCAUACUCCUCUCCAUGGUGAUUCCAUAUUGUAUAACCCUGAAGAAUACCAUCACAUUUCAGGUGUGUCUCAACUUCAUCACGAUUUUGGGUUACUCUGUUUUCACAAUUAUUGCAAGGGCAUGGUAUUUUGCUAUUAUGUGGAAGGUCACAAAAAGCAAAAGAUAGGAAUUGGUCGACUCCAUCUUUGUAAGCAGGGUCACGUCUUGGUUUACUC